GUGGCCCUGACUUGGAAAGCAAACCUCUCUGCAGCCACGGGACCCCCAACAGCAGCCUCACAGAGCCUGCCCCGGCCACCCUAGUCUGGGCUAACUGUCCUGCCUUCUCCUCCAAGAUUCCCUUGCCUGGGUCCCUCCUCCCUCGGCCUCACCACACUCCUCUGGGGACCCUGUGCUUGGACUCCACCCUUUCCUGUCCAGACCACUGUGAAGGCCUUUAGUCACCUCCUAGAGAAGCAAGAUUUUCAGCCCUGGCUUUCUACCCCCACACCCUACAGCCGGCCAGGGGACAGGGUCGUGUUCACACAGUGCUAAGGGAACACGCUGACGUGUGUGACAUCAAGAACUCCAGUGCCCACACAGCCCGAGUCCGGAUGGCAGGCACAUCGGAAGGCUCACGGUCAGAGGAUGCUGGGACAAACGCCACGAGAGGUUCCUUUUUGUCUGGCUCACCCAGAAGAGAGGCUCCUCUCCUCCCUUCCCUGCAGCACAACGGCCUGGCUGGCACCCAAAGGGCAGCCGGCAUGGGCUGACCUCAGAGGAGCAAGGCGUGUUUGCAGCUCUGCCGCUCACAUCCACAGUGGCCAUGACAACAGGUGCAGCACCAUCCAUUAAAGCCCUGUGUCAUUUCACUUAAUUCUCACAACGACCCCCGGAGAAAGGGACUACUAUCCCCAUUUUCCAGAUGAAAAAGGAAAUUGGUCCUUAGAGUGAUCAUCCACCCAAGGCUAGUGACAGGGCUCAGAUUGGAACCCAAGGCCCUCCAAGAUCUCAAGUCACAGACAAAGAAAGCCCAUCUCUGACUUGGCAGGGGAAGGGGGAGGUCAC
rnacentral:lncRNA from 10 species